AUUGAACGCUGGCGGCAGGCCUAACACAUGCAAGUCGAACGAGUGGCGGACGGGUGAGUAAUGUCUGGGCAACUGCCUGAUGGAGGGGGAUAACUACUGGAAACGGUCGCUAAAACCGCAUACAAUCGGUUGUGCCCAGAUGGGAUGAGCUAGUAGGUGGGGUAAAGGCUCAGCUAGGCGACGAUCCCUAGCUGGUCUGAGAGGAUGACCGGCCACACGGGAACUGAGAAACGGUCACGACUCCUACGGGAGGCAGCAGUGGGGAAUCUUGGACAAUGGGCGCAAGCUGGAUGCAGCCAGGCCGCGUGAAUGAAGAAGGCUUUCGGGUUGUAAAGUACUUUCAGCGGGGAGGCGGUACCUGCAGAAGAAGCACCGGCGAACUCCGUGCCAGCAGACGCGGUAAUAC
rnacentral:rRNA from 1 species